GUCCCUCUUGAAUUUCCAUCAGACUCAAAGUUUCCUGUGCUGAAGGGCAGAAGGUGAAUACACUGAUAUUUUCUGCUGGAGGAGAGCCUGCAUUGCAGCAGAUCCACAGCUCCACAAUGUACACGGCCAGAGUUAUUCUGAGAGGUAGAGCAAUAACUCUAAUGCAAGACAGGAGACAUAACAAUGGAAGCCAUGGAUGUGGUACUGAUCAACAACACAAAGAUCUGAAGGGAAAAAGAGAUAAAGAGAGAGCAGGGGAGUCACUGUAAUGUUUGUGUGUAAGAAACAAGGAAAAAAAGGCACAAAUGUUCCAGGUCCUGCAGUGUCUGUGACACAGCUGGAAAUCUGCAAUUACACCUGCAUCAUCCUUACAGAUGUGAAAGGAGUUGAUCGUAUCAUUUUUCUGGUGAUCAGAAAUAAUGUCCUGCUAGCAAAGAUAAUUAUUCUUGGAACUAACCGGACCUAUUUAUGUCACCCAAGCUUACUAAUCAAGAUUUGAAAAAUACAUCUGCCUAAAGUGCUGGGACCAACAUGCUGUGGUAUGUAACCAAGCUGCCUGGCAAGAAGUCUGUCCACCCUUUUGAAAGAAAAGAAUAGGUGCUCAGAAAAGAGAAACUAGAGUAAGCUGGGGGAAAAAAAAAAAAAGAAAAAAGAAAAGGAAAAAAAAAAGAACACUAGGAAAAAAUCACACUGGAAACACUACAAGGAUUUAACUGUGAAGAUUAUUAGAGUAACUUCUUAAAGGGAACGUGAAGUCUCCAUCUCGAUAUUUUCGGAUUACGAUUUUAUGUAUUGCUGAAAGGGAUUAUUUAGAUCAGCAUAAGCUACAGUUUCCCAAGCUUUGUAUAUUUCUUCAUCACUGCUGUUCCAACGGACACCAUUCUUGCAGCCAGAGGGAUAAGUCCUGCACGAUGCUGAGCUGCCUGGUCCCAAACGAGCAGGACACUUAGCACUGCAGGCACGAGUGCUCCCAGCAAGGUUCGUUUGCACAUACCUACAACUCAGCACGUUCUAAAACCUCUUGCAGGAUCAAGGCCAAGAGAUCUCAUGCUUUGGCAAGGUUCGUUCAGUU